AUAAAUUAAUUAAUUUCAAAAAAUCUGUUCUUAUCAGUUUAAUAUCUGAUACGUCCCCUAUCCUAAUAUGUCCUACAUAUUAAAUUGAUUUUUGGAUCACGGAGCUGGAGCCGGGCCUUGCUUUGCCACUCCAUGCAUCGGCCUGGUAUUGCAGUGUCUCCAGGAACAGUGUGCUUCCC
ensembl:snRNA U2 U2 spliceosomal RNA